rnacentral:rRNA from 1 species
AGCGAACGCUGGCGGCAGGCCUAACACAUGCAAGUCGAACGAAGUCUUCGGACUUAGUGGCGGACGGGUGAGUAACACGUGGGAACGUGCCUUUAGGUUCGGAAUAACUCAGGGAAACUUGUGCUAAUACCGAAUGUGCCCUUCGGGGGAAAGAUUUAUCGCCUUUAGAGCGGCCCGCGUCUGAUUAGCUAGUUGGUGAGGUAAAGGCUCACCAAGGCGACGAUCAGUAGCUGGUCUGAGAGGAUGAUCAGCCACAUUGGGACUGAGACACGGCCCAAACUCCUACGGGAGGCAGCAGUGGGGAAUCUUUCGCAAUGGGCGAAAGCCUGACGCAGCCAUGCCGCGUGAAUGAUGAAGGUCUUAGGAUUGUAAAAUUCUUUCACCGGGGACGAUAAUGACGGUACCCGGAGAAGAAGCCCCGGCUAACUUCGUGCCAGCCGCCGCUGUAAGGC